UCGUGCAGGAGCUCCCCAGCACCCCUCUCUCCACCUGCUGUUGUUCUUGAUUUCCUUUCUCUCUCCUCAGGAGCUCCAGCAGCAGUGGACUUCCUGAGUCUCCACAGGGGCCUCUCUUGGAGUCCUUCCCUGACUCUGGGUUGAAGAAUCAGCUGUGACGAACAAGAUACCAGAACUACUGAAGUGAAACCUUGGCUUUGCUGGAACACUCCAUAUUGGUGGGCUGGAGUUGAGAAAUAAGAGGUGAUAAAGAAGAGACCCGCAAUGCUGAGGUGAAAUCUGGCGAGUGUUUCCUGAGCAGAGUCAUUACACAGAAGCUGUGUUCAGAGGUGACCAAAGUUGUACCUUGAUCUGGUAGCUCAAGGUGUAAGAGUUACCGGGUGGUACUGGUUUUGAAGGCCUGAAGGGGUCAUGGAGAGCUGAGCUUGACACUGUGAGAGGCCAGGAAAGGUCAUUGGUAAAAAUGCAGCUUCAGUAGCAAUCAAAGGCUCAGGACUGAAGGCGUCAUGCAAAGAAGUUGAGGCUUGGCACCACGAAAAGAGCCAAUGAGAGGCUCUUUGUAAAAAGGCAGCCCAGUUGCCACAAACGACCCCAGUGCUUUGGAGAUGCUGGUACAAUGGGAGGGCCACCAAGAACAGCAGCAGCAGCAGCAGCAGCAGCAGUGCAGUGGAGCCAGCCUGAGUCUGGAAGACAAGUUGUGCAUGCUGCAGGGGAUGGAGCUGGAGAAGUGACCCAAGCCCCUUGGAGGAGCCCAGAAGACUGUGAGUAAAUCCCAGAAUUCUACAGUUGAGAGACUUUAAACUUUUAAAGAAGAGAUUUUGGGGCUUUACAGAGAAUUUGGAUUUUAAGAGACUUGAUAUUUUUAAAGAGACAAUUUAUAGCAUGUUUGAAAUGGUAAGACUGUGGGAUUUUUUUAAGUUUGUAAAAUGUUUUAUAUUGUAAUGUCUUUAUUAAUGUGUGAUCUUGGGGCUGAACAAGAAAGAAAGGUUGUGGCUUAACAGUGACAUAUUUGUGUGUUAAGUUGACAAAGGAUCCAUUGUGCUCAGCUAGAUUUAUGUCAACUUGACACAAGCUAGAGUCAUCCGAGAGGAGGAAACCUCAACUGAGAAAUUUCCUUCAUGAGAUUGGGCUGUGGACCAGUCUGUAGAGCAUUUUCUUAGUGAUUCAUUGGAGAGAGCCUAGCCCUUUGCGGGUGGGGCUCUCCUGGGCUAUUGGUCCUGGAUUCUGUAAGAGGGCAGGCUGAGCAAUUAAUGUGAAGCAAGCUAGGAAGCAGCAUCCUUCCAUGGCCUCUGUAUCAACUCCUGCCUCCAGGUUAUUUUCCUGUUUGCAUGCCUAUCCUGGUUUCCUUCGAUGAUAGACUACAAUGUGGAAGUGUAAGUCAAACC